rnacentral:lncRNA from 1 species
AAGAAAGAAAAAUAAAACCACAACACACACUGUGCGUGUGUGUGGUCGAUCGCACAAGGCAGAGGGAAAGGGGUAAACCCUAAUUCUCAAGAAAUCUCCAAAUUGAAAAGGGAAUUGAAGGUUUUUAGGAUGCAUGUAUCAAGAUUAUCGAUCUCCUAAGUGUUCUUCACUAUCAAGAACGUGUCAAGGAGAGGUCAAGCAUAGGAGGAUAACGGGUCAAGAUAAGGCAAGGUGACAAAUACACUUAAUGGAGUACUCGAGGUAAGUGAAUUUCGAUUCACUUUUUAGUAGGUUUAAUAGAUUUUAAUACUUAUGUUUACGAAACAUCAUGAAAGAACAUGUAAUAAUCAGAAGUACAAAGCCAAUAAUGCCUCAUUAUUGAGGAAGGUUGUAUUUAAGCCGAAAGUAAAUUGGUGGGUUUAAACGGGUCGAAUUUUAUGUGCAUAUGUUGCGUAAUGUAAUGAAAUUCGUUAUGGUUAAGACCUUGGGUAGGAAUUUUUAGUCAUUAUGUAAGGGGAACACUUCCCGGACCAUUAGGAACAAGUUUUAUAUGAUUCGGUUGUCGGUUAGUUAAUGAACGGAUUGUUUCAUGUUAGUGUAGGAAAUUUUAUAAGUAUAUGUGUAUAGGAACCCAAAGGGCACGUGGGUUGAAUCAUAGAUUGUCUAUACUAUGUAAAGUUGUGAAUGUGACAUUCCGGCAUAAACCUACAUGUAAAAGAAGCUUGUGUAUAUAUUCGUGAUUAAUUGAUUGUGCGUAGGAAGGAA